rnacentral:ribozyme from 1 species
AAAACAGAAACAUAAAACAAAAGAAAUAUUUGAUAAGAAUGAAGAAAGAAAAAAUAAGAAAAAUCUUAAAUUGAGUCAAACAGUCCCCGGGUCAUCUAUUUAAUUUAAUCUCUCGGUCUUCUUCUGUUUUUUUUUUUUUGUACUCUUCUGAAAAUAGUAGUAACAACAGGCAGCCA